rnacentral:rRNA from 1 species
CGAUGAUCCCAGCUUGCUGGGGGAUUAGUGGCGAACGGGUGAGUAACACGUGAGUAACCUGCCCUUGACUCUGGGAUAAGCCUGGGAAACUGGGUCUAAUACCGGAUAUGACCUUCUGACGCAUGUCAGGGGGUGGAAAGCUUUUGUGGUUUUGGAUGGACUCGCGGCCUAUCAGCUUGUUGGUGGGGUAAUGGCCUACCAAGGCGACGACGGGUAGCCGGCCUGAGAGGGUGACCGGCCACACUGGGACUGAGACACGGCCCAGACUCCUACGGGAGGCAGCAGUGGGGAAUAUUGCACAAUGGGCGCAAGCCUGAUGCAGCGACGCCGCGUGAGGGAUGACGGCCUUCGGGUUGUAAACCUCUUUCAGUAGGGAAGAAGCGAAAGUGACGGUACCUGCAGAAGAAGCGCCGGCUAACUACGUGCCAGCAGCCGCGGUAAUACGUAGGGCGCAAGCGUUAUCCGGAAUUAUUGGGCGUAAAGAGCUCGUAGGCGGUUUGUCGCGUCUGCUGUGAAAGACCGGGGCUCAACUCCGGUUCUGCAGUGGGUACGGGCAGACUAGAGUGCAGUAGGGGAGACUGGAAUUCCUGGUGUAGCGGUGAAAUGCGCAGAUAUCAGGAGGAACACCGAUGGCGAAGGCAGGUCUCUGGGCUGUAACUGACGCUGAGGAGCGAAAGCAUGGGGAGCGAACAGGAUUAGAUACCCUGGUAGUCCAUGCCGUAAACGUUGGGCACUA